rnacentral:rRNA from 1 species
CCUACGGGCGGCAGCAGUGGGGAAUAUUGGGCAAUGGGCGAAAGCCUGAACCAGCAACGCCGCGUGAAGGAAGAAGGCUCUCGGGUUGUAAACUUCUUUUGUCAGGGACGAAGCAAGUGACGGUACCUGACGAAUAAGCAACGGCUAACUACGUGCCAGCAGCCGCGGUAAUCCGUAGGGGGCAAGCGUUAUCCGGAUUUACUGGGUGUAAAGGGCGUGUAGGCGGGGAAGCAAGUCAGAUGUGAAAACCACGGGCUCAACCUGUGGCCUGCAUUUGAAACUGUUUUUCUUGAGUGCUGGAGAGGCAAUCGGAAUUCCGGGUGUAGCGGUGAAAUGCGUAGAUAUACGGAGGAACACCAGUGGCGAAGGCGGAUUGCUGGACAGUAACUGACGCUGAGGCGCGAAAGCGUGGGGAGCAAACAGGAUUAGAUACCCGAGUAGUC